ACUACAAUAAAGGGAGGCGCCAGAUUUGGUGUCAAAGCUUCACCAAAUUUUUGAACUCCCAUAAUUACCCAUGAUUUAAAGAACAGUUCAACUUAAGUGAAAAUUAUCAAUAAGGGAUAGCAAUGUAAAAUACAAAAACAUAAAUAAGAAAAUAAAUACGGAAUCAUUGAGGAAAACAGAAAUUGCCGGCAGUUAGCACGAUCUGCUCGAAGAACGACUGGCGGGGCGCACGAUUGGAGACGGAAGGCGGACGUGGGAGAUGAUUGGAGUGGAUAUGGCUUCCUUAUUAUUCACCCCACUCUCAAUUUACGGUUCAUAUAAAAGGAGAAGGGAAAGAGGAGCAGAGCAAAAUCAAACCCAGAAAGAGGAAAAAAUUAGAAUCAAAUCGGAGACUUUCAGAUUUCGUGUUCCAUUGAUUUGGCAUUGAUUUGGGUGUCCUAUUUCCAUUGAUGUGGGCAGAGCGGAUUCUUAAUCAAACCCAAAAGGCAGAGUAAUAGGUAUCAACUCGAGCGACAGUGUUGCGGAUUCAGUAGAGGUCAGCCUUGAUAAUUGUUUCCAGAUUUUGAAUUUCAUUUAUUUGGGUUUUCGUUUUCGAUUGAAGUUCCAUGUGUUAAUUAUUACAUUGGGUAAUUUCAAAGAGUGGGUGAUUGCCAAAUGCUGCUUCGCUUUCUUUCAAUUUUUGCAGGUAAAUGUAUGGGAGAUUUCGGAACAUUGUGAAAGUUGGUGUCGGCUAAUAUUAGUUGCAGUGGAGCCACCAAGGUUUUAGUAAGGCCAUUCUGCAGUGGUUAAUUAUAACUCAAACAGAGGAACAAAAUUAAAAUCAAAAUCGACUCAGUUUUGGCGAAUUACCUAAAGGUACCUGUAAAGUAUUUGAUUGGACUUGAAAGGAAAAGCGCAAGACCAGUCUUCUUGGUUCGUCUUUCUUGGAGCAUGUUAAGGAGAUAUUGGAACCUGAUACUUUUAUUGCUGCAGCGCCUUGGGUGUACUACCCAAUAAUUGAAAAGUAUUCAAUAUAUUUGACAUAGCUCUUCAGCGCUUCCAAACUGAGCAUGGAAAAGGGUUUCCAACUCAUUUCUCCCAGAUAGGGGCUCCUGACUUCUAUACCAUUCAAAGGCCGACAAGGUUGGAAAAAGCUUCAUUUUUUUAUCACUGCUCUGAACAAGACAGCAAGCUUCAAGGACGCUAUAAACACAGACAUGCCAAAAUACUGCAACCAUCAAGUAAAGAUGCGGCCUCAAGUAAGGCCUUGAUUAGAAUUUGAUCUAAUUCAAACUCGCCGUAUUUGAUUCCUUAUUGAUUGUUAUGGGACAAGUUUCUUCAUCACGCCCUCAGCCAUCGAAUGAUGGCCAGUUACUACAUAGGAACCAUCCCGUGUUCAUGCACCCAAUGCAGAAAGGCAAAGUACAAAUACCUCUCAAGGAGAGAGGAGACAAUCAGUGAUUUCUUCAGAAGCUAUUUUAUCGCAGUCUCACCCACUGGAUGAAGAUCAGGGACACACCCGUCUUCGUAUACUAGAUGCAGAAAGACAACGUAGAACUAAUUAUCAAAGAGAGAAGCGACAGUCAUUGAAUUCUUCACAACGAGCAGAAAGUUUAGCCCGAAGACGUGCUAAUUACCACUUACGGCGACAGUCGCGAAAUACAAGUGUGGAGAACAGAAGUAUGACAAAUCAACUUGAAGCAAUGGCUGGUAACUUACUACAAUGAGUCAUCUAAAAGACAAACAUCUUCAACCUUUUGUAUAACUAUUUGGAACAGAUUCCUUUCUUAUUUUGGUGGCCCACAUGUAAAUGUUCUUAUAUAUAUAUAUAUAUAUAUAUAUAUAUAUAUAUAUAUAUAUUUAUAUACCUGUGCUAAAAUGGUCGAUAAAAGCACCGAGUGUAAUGUUUUAUUUUUUAUUUUUAAGAAAUAAUUUUGUUAUGUUGACAACACGUUGCCAAGUGUGUUAGAAGAGAGUGGUGGUUUAAUCAAGACUCCAAACCAAGACCCUUGGAGUUCUAGAAUGGUAUUUUUUUUUUUUUUUUUGCUACAAACUAUGACAUGAUGUUGAUUGUAGCUUUAUGUCAUGUUGUACAUAUCGACAUCUUUCCUUUAACCUGUAGCUUCAUAGCAGGGAUUUGGGAUUUUAGGAGCUGAUGAAAUGCUUAGUUUGUACCUGUAUUAAUGCAAGAUGAAUAUUGGUUGCUGGUGUUAUUUCAAAAAAGAAUUACAUGUGAAUUUCAAAGGCUUAUGAGGUUAUUGAAA